rnacentral:misc_RNA from 1 species
GAAAAUUCCACUCCCUGCUUAUUCGGAGCUGAAAAUAACGAGACUCGGCUGCCGAGGGGAAGGAUCUGAGACCAGAAAUGGCGUUGGAGCCUCUGCCUUUCCAGGAAGCGGAUCGCUGUGACGUCUGUAAAUGCAGCUUCAGCGCUUUCCGGCGAAGGCAUCAUUGCCGUCGUUGUGGAAGGACAUUAUGCCACGAACAUUCGUCAAAUCAAAUGGCUCUACCUCAAUUUGGAAUCUACUCCUGUGUUAGAGUUUGCGCUGAUUGUUUUAAUGAUUCUACUUGGUCAGGAAAUGUUGAUCCACAGGCUUCCUCAGAUGCGGUUAAUUCUGUAACAGAUAAAGUUUCUAUAUUAGACAUUGGUACAGAAACAAAUUCCAAAACAG